AUUUUUGCUUGAUUUAGGGAUUUUGCACCUGAGCCUGACAUCGUAGAAGGACCAUUCUUGCAUCAGAUUGGAUUUUGCACCUGAGUCUGACAUCAUAAAAGGACCAUUCUUGCAUCAGAUUGGAUUUUGCACCUGAGUCUGACAUCGUAGAAGGACCAUUAUGGUAUCAGAUUGUAUUUUGCACCUGAGUCGGACAUCGUAAAAGGACCAUUCUUGCAGCAGAUUGUUAUUAAUAAAUUUCAUUAUCUUAAAUAACUUUUGUGAUUAUUACACAAAUUGACUCCCAAUAUUAUGCUUGUGUGUUUUCUUUAAUAAAGAGUAUUUUUAAGUUU